GACGAACGCUGGCGGCGUGCCUAAUACAUGCAAGUAGAACGCUGAAGCGAGGAGCUUGCUCUUCUUGGAUGAGUUGCGAACGGGUGAGUAACGCGUAGGUAACCUGCCUUGUAGCGGGGGAUAACUAUUGGAAACGAUAGCUAAUACCGCAUAACAAUGGAUGACACAUGUCAUUUAUUUGAAAGGGGCAAUUGCUCCACUACAAGAUGGACCUGCGUUGUAUUAGCUAGUAGGUGAGGUAAUGGCUCACCUAGGCGACGAUACAUAGCCGACCUGAGAGGGUGAUCGGCCACACUGGGACUGAGGCACGGCCCAGACUCCUACGGGAGGCAGCAGUAGGGAAUCUUCGGCAAUGGGGGCAACCCUGACCGAGCAACGCCGCGUGAGUGAAGAAGGGUUUCGGAUCGUAAAGCUCUGUUGUAAGUCAAGAACGGGUGUGAGAGUGGAAAGUUCACACUGUGACGGUAGCUUACCAGAAAGGGACGGCUAACUACGUG
rnacentral:rRNA from 1 species